GAUGAACGCUAGCGACAGGCCUAACACAUGCAAGUCGAACGAGAACGGGUUAUAGCUUGCUAUAACUGUCAGCUAAGUGGCGCACGGGUGAGUAAUAUAUAGUUAACCUGCCCUAGAGAGAGGGAUAACGUUUGGAAACGGACGCUAACACCUCAUAUGCCUUUAAGUCAUAAGACUGCAAGGGAAACAUUUAUGGCUCUAGGAUGGGACUGUACGGUAUCAGUUAGUUGGUGAGGUAAUGGCUCACCAAGACAAUGACACCUAACUGGUUUGAGAGGAUGAUCAGUCACACUGGAACUGAGACACGGUCCAG
rnacentral:rRNA from 1 species